CCCUGGCUCGAGGGGUGGGGCUUUGCCACCUGUUCUCGGAGGGUUCUUAGGGGGUGGGACCUCCAGGGAAGUCUAAUCUCGGGCGCGUGGCCAAGAUGAAAUGGGUGGGCCCGGCACCUGGCGGUGGUUAGGCGUCAGUGUCCUGAGAAGCUCGGGUGCAAUUGCUUAGAGAGGCUUAGACGGGGGUUCUUGGGGGGGAAGUGACGUGGGCUCUUCCUCGGUGCUCUUGGAGUCCGGGUCUGACUGCUGCUGUUCGGACUCGGACUUCAGGGUGCUCUGCUGCGAGACGCACCGGCGGCGGCUCACCCGCAGCUCCGUGGAGGGCCCCCUUUUGCCCCACAUGCCCACGUAGUUUAAGUAGCUCAGGGUUCCUGGGGGUGGGGGCCAGAUGGGCUGCUGGACUCCGAACCCCGCCCUAGGCCCCGCCCUCUCCCUCGAGGCUGACCUCCCCGGGGGUCCGCCCCAAUCUGGCCAGAAGCCCUGCCUGGUAUUCUCCCCGGGUGCCACCCCCUGCCGAGACCCCGCCCCUUCCUCCCGAGGCCCCGCCCUCACCGGCCCACAGCGUCAAGGCGCCGGCGCCCCAGCACAGGAAAAAAAUGGGACCUGGGAGCUGCUGAGAGCCCCAUUGCCACUGUAUGAGCACAGCUUGCCUGAGGGCCCAACACAAAAGAAUCCUUCAAGGAGAGAUGGCAAGAGACAGAUACCUUUUGAACACCUGGAUCCCGAAGCAGGGACAAUUUAUGCCUGCAGACUUUUCCGUAACUUGAAACCAGCUUGAGUUUGAGAGGUAUAAGAGAAAGAGAUACUCAAAAUAAAUAAAUAAGAUUAAUACCACACAA